rnacentral:rRNA from 1 species
AGCUCCAAUAGCGUAUAUUAAAGUUGUUGCAGUUAAAAAGCUCGUAGUUGGAUUUCUGGUGUGAGGGAACGGUCCGACCUCUGGUGGGUACUUGCUUCCUCUCACGCCAUCCUUGAGUGGUGCGUUCUGGCAUUCAGUUGUCGGGACGUUAGCCGCUCAUCGUUUACUGUGAGAAAAUUAGAGUGUUCAAAGCAGGCUUAUGCCGUUGAAUAUAUUAGCAUGGAAUAAUAAGAUAGGACUUCGGUACUAUUUGGUUGGUUUGCGCACCGAUGUAAUGAUUAAUAGGGACAGUUGGGGGUAUUCGUAUUCAGUUGUCAGAGGUGAAAUUCUUAGAUUUACGGAAGACGAACUACUGCGAAAGCAUUUACCAAGGAUGUUUUCA